rnacentral:misc_RNA from 1 species
GGAAGUAAAAUCGUAACAAGGUUUCCGUAGGUGAGCCUGCGGAAGGAUCAUUAUUGUAUAACCGAGGUGCGAGGGCUGUCGCUGACCCGAAAGGUCGUGCACGCCCGAGUGCCCUCACACACAUCCAUCUCACCCCUAUGUGCACCACCGCGUGGGUCCCCCUUUGGCUUGUUCGGAGGGGGGCUUACGUUUUCACACAAACUUUGUAUGCAGUGUAGAAUGUAUUUUUUGUUUUUGCGAUCACGCAAUCAAUACAACUUUCAACAACGGAUCUCUUGGCUCUC